rnacentral:misc_RNA from 1 species
AGUGAUCUUGAUGUUAUUGAAGGUUUUGUGAAUCUGCCUGCCGCGCGGCAUGGUUGCACGGGCUCCUCUGCCGUUGGCUGUCGUGGAAGGUAGGCCACCGCUUGCUCUCUUCUGGGGAGUGAAGUUCUCAAUUCCCAUAUUAAAGUUAACUCUCUCGGAUUGUAGACUCAGAAGCGGCAAUUAGAGAGAGAUCCAAAUUCUCUCUCUUUUGGGUGUAUAGUUUUCUAGUGUGUGGAUCUGAAAGGCAUUUAAUAUAAUAAUAUAAAGUUCUAUAUUCUCUUAGCUCUGAGAGCUCUUUGUAGGGAGGGGGAAGCGGAAGAAUAAUUUAAAAAUCCUAGGCGGCGGUUACGGUGGCGUUGGUGUUGGACGCGUUGGUCCUGUUUUGGUAGCGGUGACAAUGGAAGAGUUCAAAUCAGGGACUGCGCUGGGACGACGUACGUCCAACU